CCCCCGUUCCACUCCAAAGCGAAACCGACCUUUCCCCCUUCCCCUCCCCCUCCCCCCUCCCCUCCCGCAGCAGCCUCGCCGAGAUCCAAUCCGGCUGCCCCCCAACUCCCCCACCGGCGGCGAGCGACUCGGCGAGAGGNNNNNNNNNNNNNNNNNNCGAGGACGAGCGGGCGGAGCCAUGGGGCAGCAGUCGCUGAUCUACGCGUUCGUGGCCCGCGGCACGGUGGUGCUUGCCGAGUACACCGAGUUCACCGGAAACUUCACCACCAUCGCCUCCCAGUGCCUCGUCAAGCUCCCGGCCAGCAACAACAAGUUCACCUACAACUGCGACGGCCACACCUUCAACUACCUCGUCGAGGACGGCUUCACAUACUGCGUGGUUGCCGUUGAAUCAGUGGGGCAACAGAUGCCAAUUGCUUUCUUGGUUCGGGUUAAGGAUGAUUUCAGCAAGAGAUAUGCUGGCGGGAAAGCUGCUACUGCUGCACCAAGCAGCCUGAACAGAGAGUUUGGAUCAAAACUCAAGGAGCACAUGCAGUACUGUGUGGACCACCCUGAAGAGAUAAACAAGCUCGCUAAAGUGCAAGCACAAGUUUCAGAAGUCAAAAACGUGAUGAUGGAAAACAUUGAGAAGGUUCUUGAUCGUGGGGAGAAGAUUGAGCUGCUUGUUGACAAGACAGAGAAUCUCCGCUCACAGGCCCAAGAUUUCAGGCAGCAAGGAACACAGGUGAGGAGAAAGAUGUGGCUACAAAACAUGAAGAUCAAGCUGAUCGUCCUGGGCAUCAUCGUCGCGCUCAUCCUCAUCAUAAUCCUGUCGGUGUGCCACGGAUUCAACUGCGGCAAGAAGUGAGGACAAGUCGAGGUCGUGAGACACAUUCAACUGCCCCUAUAUUACUCUGCUGAUUCGAGCAAAAACCAUAUAUAUGGUGCUUAGUUCUUUUCUUGUUUAGUGUGCGCUGGCCCGGGCCGUGGUGCCUGUGGGUGGGUCUGUGUUUUCGUUGUCGUCGUGUUGGGAUGUUCGGUUACCGCUGGAUGGGUGGUGGCUGGGUCGGCGGGUCGUGUAUUUUUGGACGCUAUGUAUGUAUAGCUUGGAUCUUGACGCCUUUGUUCUAUUGUUAUAUGAUGAUGAUGAGUAGUAGAUUUACUUAAUUAGAG
rnacentral:rRNA from 1 species